AGCCGCAAUUCGUGCUAAGGUAGCAUAAUCAUUUGUCUUUUAAAUAAAGACUAGAACAAAAGAUUUAACAUUUCAAAAAUUAUUACAAUUUAAUAACAUCAAUUUAUCCUAAAUGUAAAAAGACAUUUAUAUUAAAGAAAGACGAUAAGACCCUAUUGAACUUUACUUUAGUUGAACUGGGGAAGUUAAUUAAUUAUUAUUUUAAUCAAAUUUUUUAAAAAAUAAUCCAACAAAUUUGAUAAUUCAGUUACCAUAGGGAUAACAGAGUAAUUAUUUUCUAGAGUUCUCAUCUAAAAAAUAGAUUGCAACCUCGAUGUUGAAUUAAUAACCUAUUUUGGGUAAAAUUUUAAAAAGGAAGUCUGUUCGACUUUUAAAAAAUUACAUGAUUUGAGUUCAGACCGGUAUAAGCCAGGUCGGUUUCCAUCUUCUUAAAAAUUUUUGUAGUACGAAAGGACCUAAAAAUAUUUUUCAAAAUUGGCAGAUAAAUGCAUUAGAAUUAGAAUCUAAUAAACUAAUC
rnacentral:rRNA from 1 species